rnacentral:lncRNA from 1 species
CCUCACCAGCCUCUGAGCAGGUGCCACAUGCAGGUGAGGCAGACAUGGCUCGUUUCCAGUUCUGUUUGCAGGUAGCAUUUUCUCUGCACUGUGCUGCAGGACAGCGUGGAGCACCCACUGCCUAUAUCUCAGGGAUGAGCUGCUCUGCAGAGGGACUCACGUGUUGCUGACUGCAGUGCUACGGGCUUCGGUGUAUGGGAUGCAUUGGACCUCCUGUUGCUGCAGUGACGUGAGCCUUCCAGCCUCCCUCAGCAAUCAGCAAAAUGCACCGUGGGAUCAGAGAGCGAGAAAAGCUUCA